AACGCUGGCGGCAGGCCUAACACAUGCAAGUCGAGCGGAAACGACACUANCAAUNCUUCGGGNGCNUUAAUGGGCGUCGAGCGGCGGACGGGUGAGUAAUGCCUAGGAAAUUGCCUUGAUGUGGGGGAUAACCAUUGGAAACGAUGGCUAAUACCGCAUAAUGCCUACGGGCCAAAGAGGGGGANCUUCGGACCUCUCGCGUCAAGAUAUGCCUAGGUGGGAUUAGCUAGUUGGUGAGGUAAUGGCUCACCAAGGCGACGAUCCCUAGCUGGUCUGAGAGGAUGAUCAGCCACACUGGAACUGAGACACGGUCCAGACUCCUACGGGAGGCAGCAGUGGGGAAUAUUGCACAAUGGGCGAAAGCCUGAUGCAGCCAUGCCGCGUGUAUGAAGAAGGCCUUCGGGUUGUAAAGUACUUUCAGUUGUGAGGAAGGGUGUGUAGUUAAUAGCUGCGCAUCUUGACGUUAGCAACAGAAGAAGCACCGGCUAACUCCGUGCCAGCAGCCGCGGUAAUACGGAGGGUGCCGAGCGUUAAUCGGAAUUACUGGGCGUAAAGCGCAUGCAGGUGGUUCAUUAAGUCAGAUGUGAAAGCCCGGGGCUCAACCUCGGAACUGCAUUUGAAACUGGUGAACUAAAAGUGCUGUAAAAGGGGGGUAGAAUUUNAGGUGUAGCGGUGAAAAUGCNUAAANAUCUGAANGGAAUACCAGUGGGCGAAAGGCGGCCCCCUGGACAGACACUGACACUNAAAAUU
rnacentral:rRNA from 1 species